ACCUUGAUCAGUUGUAAUAGCUGAGUCCUAGCAGACAGCCAUCCAUCUGGAAUUCACUGCUGCAAAAGAAAAUAAGACUAUUACGGAUUUCUUCUCAUCUCUUGCAGGAUAUGCUUGUCAUUAAUGAUCUUCUGGGAUCCACUGGGGACUUACCGGAUAUAUCUGUCACGGACGGUCACAGCGCAGUUGGACAUGCUGCUUUACCAGAAUCCAGUGAAUACAGUGGAAAAAUCUUUAGGAAUCCUGGAUCACUUUUUGAGACACUCGAAAAGAAGGCCUUGGAGGCACCAAUGUUUACUCUGCUUUUGCUGACUCUAAGCUAA
rnacentral:lncRNA from 1 species